UCUCCGUUGGUGAACCAGCGGAGGGAUCAUUACAGGACUCGCAAGACUCCUACAACCCUAUGAACUUAACUAUAAGCACGUUGCUUCGGCGGGUGUCUCGGAGGGGGUUCUCCCUCCCCGAGACGCUAAACCCGCCGGCAGCCUACUAUACUCUGUCUCUUUGCGUUGGCAUCUCGAGUACAAUCAAACAAGUUAAAACUUUCAACAACGGAUCUCUUGGUUCUG
rnacentral:misc_RNA from 1 species